rnacentral:rRNA from 1 species
UACGUAGGGUGCAAGCGUUGUCCGGAAUUAUUGGGCGUAAAGAGCUCGUAGGCGGUCUGUCACGUCUGCUGUGAAAACUCGGGGCUUAACCCCGGGCCUGCAGUGGGUACGGGCAGACUAGAGUGCGGUAGGGGAGACUGGAAUUCCUGGUGUAGCGGUGAAAUGCGCAGAUAUCAGGAGGAACACCGGUGGCGAAGGCGGGUCUCUGGGCCGUAACUGACGCUGAGGCACGAAGGUCAGGGGAGCAAACGGG